rnacentral:rRNA from 1 species
ACUCCUCGGGAGGCAGCAGUAGGGAAUCUUCCACAAUGGGCGCAAGCCUGAUGGAGCAACACCGCGUGAGUGAAGAAGGGUUUCGGUCUCGUAAAGCUCUGUUGUUAAAGAAGAACACGUAUGAGAGUAACUGUUCAUACGUUGACGGUAUUUAACCAGAAAGUCACGGCUAACUACGUGCCAGCAGCCGCGGUAAUACGUAGGUGGCAAGCGUUAUCCGGAUUUAUUGGGCGUAAAGAGAGUGCAGGCGGUUUUCUAAGUCUGAUGUGAAAGCCUUCGGCUUAACCGGAGAAGUGCAUCGGAAACUGGAUAACUUGAGUGCAGAAGAGGGUAGUGGAACUCCAUGUGUAGCGGUGGAAUGCGUAGAUAUAUGGAAGAACACCAGUGGCGAAGGCGGCUACCUGGUCUGCAACUGACGCUGAGACUCGAAAGCAUGGGUAGCGAACAGGAUUAGAUACCCUGGUAGGAUAGCG